UGGGGAAUAUUGGACAAUGGGCGAAAGCCUGAUCCAGCCAUGCCGCGUGAGUGACGAAGGCCUUAGGGUUGUAAAACUCUUUCGUCGGGGACGAUAAUGACGGUACCCGAAGAAGAAGCUCCGGCUAACUUCGUGCCAGCAGCCGCGGUAAUACGAAGGGAGCUAGCGUUGUUCGGAAUCACUGGGCGUAAAGCGCACGUAGGCGGAUAGUUAAGUCAGGGGUGAAAUCCUGGGGCUCAGCCCCAGAACUGCCUUUGAUACUGGCUGUCUCGAGGUCGAGAGAGGUUGGUGGAAUUCCUAGUGUAGAGGUGAAAUUCGUAGAUAUUAGGAAGAACACCAGUGGCGAAGGCGGCCAACUGGCUCGAUACUGACGCUGAGGUGCGAAAGCGUGGGGAGCAAACAGGAUUAGAUACCCCCGUAGUCCCUGAGCGGGCUGGCAAGGCGCAU
rnacentral:rRNA from 1 species